UGAGUAACCUCCUCUUCUUCUAGAGAGAUGUCCCCGUGGGUGCUCCACAUUAGGGAACUACAAAGCAAUUUCUCUUUAGGGAGGAAGGGACUUUGGAUCUGGCAAAAAAGUAGUGGAAAGAACUGCCUUAGCUAGUUUCAAGUUGGAAAGAGGUCCCUGCAUAAGUUCAUAGUGUUUUGCAAAUGUAUGGUCGGAGGACCACAUGGCAGCUUUGCGGAUGUCUCUUAUGAGUACUUUACGGAGGAAAGCUAUCGAGGUAGUCAUGGCUCUGGUUGAGCAUGCCCUUAUGCUCUCUGGAGAGAGCACAUCUGACUGUGCGUAGCAAAGCUUAAUACAAUCCAAGAUCCAGUGGGAGCGUCUCUGUAAUGAGACAGCCUGGCCCUUAUUGUGGUUUGCUAUUGAAACAAAUAGUCUGGGAGAUGCCCUUAACGGUCUCGUUCGCUGCAGGUAAAAAGAGAGCGCUCAGCACAGGUCAAGGGUGUGCAUUUUCAUCUUGAAAGAGUUGGUGUGUGGUUUGGGGAAGAAGGUGGGAAGAUUUGUUGUCUUGUUGAUAUGGAAGAAUGAGUGUACUUUGGGAAGGUAUUUGGGAUAGGUAUGUAAAGUGACUUUGUUUUAAAAAAAGGUGGUAUAUGGAGGAUCUGCCAUUAGGGCUGCAAUCUCUCCUAUCUGUCCGGCCGAGGUAAUAGCUACCAGGAAAACAGUUUUUAUGGACUACUGUAAUAAUGAGGUGGUCCCCACUGGUUCGAAGGGCCGCAAGGUGAACUUUAAUGGAGCUUAUUGUAUAGCCCGCUUGUUUAAGGUGCAAAAGCUAGUCAAAGAUGGUAGGUAAGGGGGAUGUUGAAGGAACCAACUGGUGACGAGAACACCACAUCAAGAAUCUUUUCCAUCUCUGAAGGUAAGUCAUGCGGGUGCUCUGCGCCCAACUGUGUAGAAGAACUGUUUGUACUUGCUGUGAGCAGGUCAACUCUAGGACAGAGAACCAUCGGGAGCUAUGCCUUCAGGUGUAGUGAAUGGAGGUUCGGAUGGGCGGCACAGGAGCCCAAGUGAAGGAGGAGAUCCCUGAUUCAAGGUAAGUGGAUCGGUGGGGCACAGGACAUCGUCGCUAGGAAGGGAAACCAUGGCUGGCGUGGCCAUGCUGGUGCUAUCAGUAUGAGACAGGCCCUGUCCCUCCUUAUCUUGUAAACUACCCUGUUCAAUAGGAGAAUUGGAGGAAACGCGUAGAAUAGAUGAGAUGUCCAUGUGAUGAGAAAGGCAUACCCCACUGAUCCCUUGCUUAUUCCUGCCCUGGAACAGAAUAGGGGGCAUUGACUGUUGAACUGUGUGGCAAACAGAUCUAUGAUAGGGUGACCCCAUCGGUGGAAGAUGUCCGCCAACAUGUGCAGGUUCACUUGUCACUGGUGCUCAACUGGAAGGGCUCUGCUGAGUGCAUCUGCCAUUGUAUUUAGAGUGCCUGAAAGAUGCACUGCAGUGAUAAUUGUGUUGUAUUUCAGGCACAAUUCCAAAGUGCUAUGGCCUCUGUGCAGAGUGCUCGAGAUUGGGCUUCACCCUGAUGAUUUCUGUAAAACAUUGCUGAAACAUUGUCUAUGUACAGUCUGACAUGUCUGCUGGCGAUGAAUGGGAGGAAUUUGAUGCAUGCAUUCCUGACUGCCCACAGUUCUAGGAUAUUUAUGUUCAAAUUCUGGUCGGUGCUGGACCAUAGGCCCUGGCAGGUACGCUGACAUAGAUGGGUGCCCCAUCCUGUAUGACAUGCAUCUGUCGUCAUGGAGAUGGAUGGUUCUGGAGGGUGGAAGGAGACUCUGGAACACAAGUUCUAUGGGUUCAGCCACCACUAUAAGGAUUCUUUUACCACCCCUGGAAGAGCAAGGGCUUUGGAUAGCAGAUGAACAUUGGUUUCUACACCUGUCCCAGCUGGCUCUGUAAGCAUCUCAUGUGCAGACAGGUGUUGCCGACUACAAAGCUGCACGCUGCCAUAUGCUCCAACAGCUGAAGGCUGUUUGAGUGCUAUUGUGCGGGGGCUGGAUCGUAAGGAUAGAGCAUCGAUUUGGCUUCGUUCACCUGAAGGCCCAGGUGUCAGAAUAGGUUUUUUGUGACCGACAGAGUGGCAGGAAUCAUUGUGUGAGUGCAACUUGAGGAAGCAGUCAUCUAGAGAAAACAAAAUAUAAAAGAGGACAGAGUUCAUCUGAAUGAGGAGUAAAGCAGUAACAUAUAACACCACUACCUGAAAAAACAGGUACCUGAAAAAACACUACAACUCAAACAGAUUCUCCACAAAAGGAAAAAAAGGAAAACCAAAGGCUUCCAUCAGAAGAAAAAGCAAGGAGAACUGUAACUGCAUACCCUCUGUAAGAGGGAGAGAUUACUUGGACAUACAGCUGUGAUAGUGUGGGCAUUUGCUAAAUAGAUCGGUGUAUUCUGUUGGACAGAAUAAAAGUCUCAGGCGAUAAGCACUUCAGACUGCGUAAAAGACUUGGACACAUUCCCAGAAUUUAGAAGGUCAUAAACAGAGAAUCUAAAAAAACUACAAUGGGGGGGUGUCAGAAUGGACUAACUUCUACUCAGUGGUGCAACAUUGCUUGCCUGGCCCAAAAUAAAAUGAUCCAACUUUUCUACAUCAACCCAGCAGCAAAGAAAAAGUGCACGUGUUAAAAAUAGCAAUAUUUCAGAGUUCAAUCAUCCACUCACUCCCACACAAUUUCAAUAUAUGUAGACAUGAGUUGUAAACAUUGUUCCAUUUAAGAUAUUCCAAUAUCCCUUUCCCUCCAAUUUUUAUAUAUCUGGUCUCAAACCAUAUAUUUGUUGAACUACAGCCUGAGCAUGGCAAAGUCCUGCUGGAGAAAGAUCAGCUUCAACCAACCACUUUUCUGAUAAAAGGAGCUUUAAGUUCAGCCCCACACCACUUAUGCACCGUAAGAAAUAUCCUGUCAUUCUAUGUAGAAAGUUAGGAAACAAAUUCUGAACCGAAGUUAAGAGUGAGCAUUUUACCAGCACGGUAUAAGGUUUUGUUUUUUCCUUUCCCAGGCACUGCCACUCCCAUUCAAGAAUGACAACAUUCACCCUAGCAUUAGUCCAAAAGCAUAGCAAAUAAUGACUCAUAGCCAUCCCUUUUGAGAUUAAAAUGGUAACUAGAAUUAACAAUUACUCACAUACUCAUGUUUACCAAUACAAGUACUAAUCAAAGGUCUGCUGUAAAGUGAAAUGAACUUUUUCCUAUAAAGCAAUUACAUUGUAAUGUUUUAUGAUCUCAAGGAAGCACAGCCAUGAAAGAGGUAUACAACGACAUGCACACAUAUCUAAGGAGGAAGUGAUAGCACCACCUUCAAAGCCAGGCCAAUAGAUAUCUCAUUAAGUACAACCAUUCGCACACAAAACCUGUGCAGAGAAAAUAUGACCAAAAAUACAUUAAACUGAUAUUCUCUGUCUUGUCCGCACAGCACAGAGCCAAAGCCAUCUCUCAGCAAGGAGUAGACGCAAGGCUUAAGCAUUCAGAUAAGCAUAACCACACUGCACUUUUUAAAAAUGAAGACAUUGAAGCCCAUUUCACAGGUCCUCCUCCUCUGCAUAGCAACACCUUACAGGGGAUAAAUAAGUUAACAACAAAUCUCAUCCUGCAAGUUGUUGAGAUGAUUUAUGUUGGUAUAAACGUAUGUUGGUUUAAUUACGCUAGAUUUCCCACAUCCUGAGU